AGAGCAUUAGCAAAUGUCUUUCCUUUCUGGGAAUGGUGUUCUCUCACAGCAUCAUUCUGAAUGAUCACUUUCCAGAGAUACAAGAGGUUAGUCUUUCCAAUGAACUGUAUGGUGACGGACAAGGCCAGUGGUUCCAAGGGCAGGAGACUGGUGCUACCUUUGGGCCUCGGAGAAACAUUAGGAUCAAGAGCACAGCUACUGGAGCUAGACUGCUUGGAUCUGAAGUUAAUUCUGCUACCAGCUAUGUAUAAUAAUUAAAGCAAUCUCCUUACUCUCAAAAAUACAUGAUCAAACUACUGAUGGGUCAGAUAAAAUUAAAGUUGAAAUGUACAAGUGGUAGCCGUAGCAAGACAAAUUUUGGCAGACUGUUGAAGACGGAAGCCUGGUUGGAAGGGUUUACAAAAGUGGAUGACAACAACUGGAGACAGUUAGAUGAUUAUUUUGAAGACUUUUGCUACAAGAAAGAGAAGAAAUGAGUUCAUAGGUCAUCCCCCCAUAAUGAACCAAGUUGAUAUUUGAGGAUUGGACUGUGCAGCACUCAGAGUUCUUGAACCUUGAGGUGAAUGCAGGACCUGCCUGGGAUUGGUGUCCUCUCUCUCGGGGAGCAGUCUGUGUUCUUUGAGAUUCUCUCCUGCAUGUUCUGUUCGCUGGAAUCAAAGCAAAAGGAAAGCUCACACAUUGAGAAAAGAUUCCAAUAAAAGGAUAUCUGCUAUUCUUCCAUAUGUCCUAAGAGUUGGAAAUUGAAGAAUGCAACGGAAAGCAAGAUGAACGAGGCAAGAGUGUGUAGCCGUCAAUCCUGGAUCCAGGGGGCCAUUACUGACUGAGUUAGAGACAUCCCUGCCACGCAGCACGGAGAUUUAUAACUCUGAGCAAAGGUUUCAACAAAUAAGAUUUCUUCACUCCAAAGUCCAUCUAUGUGUGCUCCCUGAAAUAAAGAACAGAGCAUUUCUGUCUGCUGGUGUCUAAUCCCAGGAGCCUUGGCAGCAGAGGCAGGAGAGUUCCAAAAGGUCUUCUUAUAGCUCUGGAGAUAAUGACCAGCUCAAACAAGCUGGAGCCGCACGGGGAUACCCAUGGACUUUAUCUCUUUCUCUCCCAUUCCCCCUGCCCCCCUCAGGCUGACAUAGUGUCUGUACUGACACAGACAGUCCAGAAAAAAGAAACUGUGUCUUUUUUAUAACUUUUACUUAAGUGGGAUAAAUGGAAUGAUCAUAACUGAAAGAUUUGUUGGAAACAUACUUCCUAUCCAGAAAAUCCAUUGUAAUGUUGCAAUUAAAAAGUUCUACUCAGAGCAAGAGUAAAAAAAGAAAAGAGAAAAAGGGCAAGAACUGGGAUUAGGUUUAAUGACCUGGAACACGCAAGGAACAUAAUAAAAUUUCUGAUUCCAUGUCAGGGAUGUGGGUACGUGGUCUAAGACAUACAUCGGACUCUUCAAUGGCUCUGCUACCCUGCCCCCACAGUGCCCCCUCCCAUGAAGACAGGCAACAGGGAAGGUGCUUGAAUUCUUUCAGGGCCUAUGGCGGUCACUAAGCAAUUUGUUUCUUUAACAUCUGAAAUAACAUGUAAACCUCACGUGGGUGCCAGAUUGGGGAAGUGCGGUUGAGAUGUCCCACGAGACAAUGUUUUUUGGAAACAUUCAAUGACACCAAAUCCCCUCCAGUGCACAAUUUUGUAUAAGACUUCCAUUUUGGAGCCCAGCCCAAAUACUAGUGGAAUUCAGCGUUACAUUACAAUUUGACUUACUACAAAGUCUUGCGGCAGAGUCCAGGUAUGGUAAGCUUUGAAUUACCUAAUCAGGGUAGGAGCCAGUUGGCCUAUGGAAUACCUGAAAAUUAAACACUAUCUACCAGGGAUGAGAAAGUAUGCCCACUUAGAAACUCUGUUGAGGCGUACCUUGAAAACUGAAAACCAUACAAAUGCCAACAAUGUCUUCGUUUUUGCGAUGUUCACGGUCUUGUGAUGAAAGAAGAUGAAAAAAUAAUAACCUUAAAUAAUUUAAAGUGGUGUAAUUAAGGGUAUAUCCAGGGCAUUGUCAGAACGCAGAAGAGGGACACGCUUAUCCAGCCAGGUGAUGAAGGCCAGGGAAGGUUGCCACUCUAUUUAGUUAUAAGAAAUUCAAGGUACAGUUAAUGCAUCAUGUCUUGAAGAUGGCACUUUUCCUCCAAACAACUCAGACUUUUCCCAGAACCAUUCCAAAGGACUUAGCUUUUCUCAUAAAUGCUCUAUGUAUUUGUUCAACUACAUCCUCUGUGAAUGGAAGAGAGGUCAGAACUAUGUCACUGCUUUGUAACCUGAGGUCUCCUGCCUUGUCUACUAAAUGGGUUACUGAAUUAGUAUUCCUCCCUACACAUUUUUCCUCUAAAAAGCCUGUUCUUUUCUGCCUUGGAAUCUGAGCCCCUACUUCUCUAUAUAUCAUUCUUCACAGAUCUCUAUCUAACCACUUAGACAAACAGUUUAAUUUCCUUCGACAUGAUUUCUUCUGGACAAUAAAAACAAAAUUGCCAUAGAUAGACCUUUUUUGUUUGUUUGUUUGUUUACAUUAUGAAAAAUUUUACCUCCCUUUUACCUGCUGUUUUUCUUCCUCAUCUUCUGCACACUCGCUGGAGGUCUCCUGAAGGGUCCACGCUCAGGCUGCAUAAGUCUGGCAGUUAUCUUCAGUACCAGGUCUCACUUCAUAAUGGAAAACCUGGAAAUGUUUUCAUUUCCUUUAAAGUUAUCUGAGUCAGAGGAGCUAAAGGCAGAGAAUGGGCUCUCUCUGGGGUUGCUUGAAGAACUCAAGGUCCUAAAAGUGAAUGUCCUCUUCUAAUUGCUUGACAGAACUGUUUAUUUUCCAUGACUUAGCAAUUUAUGUCCAGGACAGGGUCUGACUGACCGGACUUGUGACAAAAUUAGAUAGAAAAUCUCUUAAUCCUUUUAUUUUUUCUCAUUGGCAAUGUUCAUGAGUCCAUUAUUCCUAUGGACUAGAGAGGAACGCAGGAAUUACAAGGAUGGGCCCAUUGAAUUGCAGGCUUGGGUUAUGCAGAAUAUCCUUUGAAUGGAUUCAUUGUCCUACAAUGGGUCUCAUAGAGUGAGAGGAUUUGUUGUUAAGGGCUGGGCUUAAAAUUUUUUAGCCUGAGUUUGAAUGCAAUGCAAGGCCACUUCAAUUGUCUUGGAAAUGAGAGUGCUAGUAACUAGUGGAGAGACUAUUUUGAAAUAAGAUAAUGACAUUCCCCAAAGCUGCUUCCAGUUUGAUAAUAAAUAUUAUCCACCAAAUGAUAUUAUACAGAUUUUCUUGUUAGAUUUUCUUGUUCGAGGGAAUUACACCAACAGAGGUUUUAACAGCUCUGUUGAGAUACUAUUUCCGUACCAUACAAUGCAUCCUAUUAAAGUGUUUAAUUCAACAGAUUUAGUGUAAUCAUAGAAUUGGAUAGCCAUCACCACAAUCUAAUUUUAGAACAUUUCCAUCACACUAAAAAGAAAUCCCAUAACCAUUAGCUAUAAUCAACCAGUCUUCAUUUCACCCCAGUCCUAUACAAUUGCUUAACUACUUUCUGUCUCUAUUGUUUUGCCUAUUACAGAUCUUUCGUAUCAAUGGAAUCAUAUAGUAUGUGGUCUUCUGUGACUGGCUUAUUUAAUUUAGCAUAAUGUUUUUAAGGUUCAUCCUGUUGUAGAAUAUAUUAGGGCUUCAUUCCUUGUUAUUGUUAUCCAUCGAUAGAUAUACAUUUGUUUAUUCAUUCAUCAGUUGUUAGACAUUGGGAUUAUUUCCCCUUUUGGAUAUUAUGAAUAAUGCAGCUAUUGCAGUGUUAUUUACAAAAGCCAAUACCUGGAAACAAUCUAAUUGUCCAUGGAUGGAUGAAUUGGUAAUGAAGAUGUGGGAUAUAUAUAUAUAUAUAUAUACCUAUAUCUAUAUAAGUGUGGUAAUUAGCCAUAAUAAAGGAAAAUCCUGCCAUUUGCAACAUCAUGGAUGACCUCCAAGAUGUUACGCUAAGAAAAAUAAGCCAGGGAAAGAUAAAUACUGUAUGAUCUCAUAUGUAUAUGGAAUCUGCAAAACAAACAAAGGAAAAGAGAUCAGAUGUGUUCAUUACCAGAGGUGGAGGGGGGAUUGGAUGAAGGCAGUCAAAAGGUAUAAACUUUCAGUUAUAAGAUAAAUAAGUACUGUGGAUGUAAUGUACAACAUGACAACUAUGAUUAAUACUAAUAUAUGGUAUAUAUGAAAGUUGUUAGAAUAAAUGCUAAGAGUUCCCAUCACAAGGAAAACAAUUUUAUUUUUCUUUUUCUCUAUUUUUUCUAUUUAUAUGAGAUAAUUAAACUAUUGUGACAAUCA